rnacentral:rRNA from 1 species
AUUGAACGCUGGCGGCAGGCUUAACACAUGCAAGUCGAGCGGAGCGAGGGUGCUUGCACCUUAGCUUAGCGGCGGACGGGUGAGUAAUGCUUAGGAAUCUGCCUAUUAGUGGGGGACAACAUUCCGAAAGGAAUGCUAAUACCGCAUACGCCCUACGGGGGAAAGCAGGGGAUCUUCGGACCUUGCGCUAAUAGAUGAGCCUAAGUAGGAUGAGCUAGUUGGUGGGGUAAAGGCCUACCAAGGCGACGAUCUGUAGCGGGUCUGAGAGGAUGAUCCGCCACACUGGGAUUGAGACACGGCCCAGACUCCUACGGGAGGCAGCAGUGGGGAAUAUUGGACAAUGGGCGGAAGCCUGAUCCAGCCAUGCCGCGUGUGUGAAGAAGGCCUUUUGGUUGUAAAGCACUUUAAGCGAGGAGGAGGCUGCUUAGAUUAAUACUCUGGGAUAGUGGACGUUACUCGCAGAAUAAGCACCGGCUAACUCUGUGCCAGCCGCCGCCGUAA